CGAGAACUCCCGGAGGGCAGCUCUUUGUGGGAAACUCGUGGCCCUGGUGCGGAGCCUUUGGAAGGCAACCGGAUGGUCCCUCUCCGAGUGUGUUGUAGCUCACUGCGAGGAGUGGAUCCUCCAGGUAUUCUGCACAUGGGCAGACGGACAGAUGACCGGUGUUUGCUGCUGCAUUGUUCUAGAUGAGGCUGUAAAAAUAUCUGGAGAUGACAAGGAAAAGGAGAAUAUUCUGGUUGGGAUUCAUUCAUCGAGGCAUGUAAAGAGUUCCACUGUCUCUAUUUUGGCCUCAAACUUUUCAGUUGGAUUCUUCUUUCCAGCGCAUCUCUGGGCUCAGGUGGAAGAGCCCAAGGGCAGAGCAUCCCCUGCAGCAGCUGAAAUGCCCCUCAAGCCAUGAGGACUGCCCUGAGCCAGCAGGACCGCCUGUGAGGGACUCCAAGACACUGAGCGAUUUGACCCUCACUGCCCACCUGCAUGGGCCCACCCACCUGUGUCCCACAUCUUCUUUAUAUAAACCUGGAAGUAUUUUCAGCACUUUGGACACAGUCUAUGAGGCAUUAGCCCGCUGUCUUCCCGGCGCUGGCCUCACUGAAAUAAAUUCCUCUCCUGUUUCACCUCUA